GGGCCUGUAGCUCAGGUGGUUAGAGCGCACGCCUGAUAAGCGUGAGGUCGAUGGUUCGAGUCCAUCUAGGCCCACCA
rnacentral:tRNA from 1 species